UACGUAGGGGGCAAGCGUUGUCCGGAAUCAUUGGGCGUAAAGCGCGUGUAGGCGGCUGAGUAAGUCUGCUCUGAAAGCCCGGGGCUCAACCCCGGGAGGCGGGUGGAUACUGCUCAGCUCGAGUCCGGAAGAGGAGUGUGGAAUUCCUGGUGUAGCGGUGAAAUGCGCAGAUAUCAGGAGGAACACCAAUGGCGAAGGCAGCACUCUGGGACGGUACUGACGCUGAGACGCGAAAGCGUGGGGGCAAACAGG
rnacentral:rRNA from 1 species